UAGUGCUAUGUUAUCGAGGGGAUUUGCAGUGCUAUCGAGGGUAUUUUCUAUGCUCACGAGCACGAUGGUUUUUCUAGUGCUCUAUUAGUUUGGGAAUGGGUGCAAGUUCUUUUUAAUUUGGUUUUAGUUUUUUGUUAAAAAUUUUAUGCUUUGUUUUUUUAUGUUUUUUUUUUGUAUUUAAUAUAAUUAAUAUAUAACCUUAUAAGUAAAAUCGGCUCAAAACUGGUGCGAACAAGGGGAAUUAGACUAUUUAAUUAAAACAAAGCAUUGUGAUGUUCCAUGUAGAUGCUAACACAAUGUGAUUUAUGCCCAGUUCUAUGUAUGUAAAAGUGAAGAAAUUCAACCAAGAACGGGUAAACGGUGGGAGUAAAUAUGACUUUCUUAAGGUAGCCAAAUGCCUCAUCAUCUAAUUAGUGACACACAUGAAUGGAUUAAUGAGAUUCCUACUAUCCCUAUCUACUAUCUAGAGAAACCAUAGCCAAGGGAAUGAGCUUGGCAGAAUUAGCGAGGAAAGAAGAACAUGUUGAGCUUGAAUCUAUUCCAACUUUGUGAAAUGACUUGAGAGGUGUAGAAUAAGUGGGAGACAUUUUCAGUGCAAGUGAAAUACCACUAUUUUUAACGUUAUUUUAAUUAUUCUGUGGGGCAGAGAUGGGGCAUUUCCCCUAUUUUUGGUCAUAAGACACAUUUUGUUGGGUUGAUCUAGGUGGAAGACAUUUCCAGAUGGGGAGUUUGCUUAUUCCGUUAACAUUAUUUUACUUAUUCCCUGGAUGCUUUUGGAAUAAAUGAAGAUCUUACAAAUGGACGAUAAAUUUUGAAGUGGGUGAUUGAAUUAUUUCCAAAGAAUAAAAAAUGAUUAGGCUUUAUGGAGUGGAAAUCAGAACUUUCAUAUUACCUCUCUUGGUAACCCUAAGAAUAUUUACCUGAGAAUAUGCUAGAAAAAUUUUCAACGUAGAUGAAUUGCACUAUCAUCCCAAGCAUCAAUUUUUGACCACAUAUUAAUUCAUCUAGUACUUUGCAUUAACUAUUCUAUAGGAUUGGUGUUUUAUUGUUGAAUUAUUUGUGCGAGUCAUGUUUUUGUACAAAAACCCUCCCAUACUGUCAUUGCAUGCAUCUAGUCUAACCAUGUC
rnacentral:ncRNA from 1 species